rnacentral:miRNA from 1 species
CAGCUAACAUGCAACUGCUAU